UGUGAGCUCGAUGAGUAGGGCGGGACACGUGGUAUCCUGUCUGAAUAUGGGGGGACCAUCCUCCAAGGCUAAAUACUCCUGACUGACCGAUAGUGAACCAGUACCGUGAGGGAAAGGCGAAAAGAACCCCGGCGAGGGGAGUGAAAAAGAACCUGAAACCGUGUACGUACAAGCAGUGGGAGCACGCUUAGGCGUGUGACUGCGUACCUUUUGUAUAAUGGGUCAGCGACUUAUAUUCUGUAGCAAGGUUAACCGAAUAGGGGAGCCGAAGGGAAACCGAGUCUUAACUGGGCGUUAAGUUGCAGGGUAUAGACCCGAAACCCGGUGAUCUAGCCAUGGGCAGGUUGAAGGUUGGGUAACACUAACUGGAGGACCGAACCGACUAAUGUUGAAAAAUUAGCGGAUGACUUGUGGCUGGGGGUGAAAGGCCAAUCAAACCGGGAGAUAGCUGGUUCUCCCCGAAAGCUAUUUAGGUAGCGCCUCGUGAAUUCAUCUCCGGGGGUAGAGCACUGUUUCGGCAAGGGGGUCAUCCCGACUUACCAACCCGAUGCAAACUGCGAAUACCGGAGAAUGUUAUCACGGGAGACACACGGCGGGUGCUAACGUCCGUCGUGAAGAGGGAAACAACCCAGACCGCCAGCUAAGGUCCCAAAGUCAUGGUUAAGUGGGAAACGAUGUGGGAAGGCCCAGACAGCCAGGAUGUUGGCUUAGAAGCAGCCAUCAUUUAAAGAAAGCGUAAUAGCUCACUGGUCGAGUCGGCCUGCGCGGAAGAUGUAACGGGGCUAAACCAUGCACCGAAGCUGCGGCAGCGACGCUUAUGCGUUGUUGGGUAGGGGAGCGUUCUGUAAGCCUGUGAAGGUGUGCUGUGAGGCAUGCUGGAGGUAUCAGAAGUGCGAAUGCUGACAUAAGUAACGAUAAAGCGGGUGAAAAGCCCGCUCGCCGGAAGACCAAGGGUUCCUGUCCAACGUUAAUCGGGGCAGGGUGAGUCGACCCCUAAGGCGAGGCCGAAAGGCGUAGUCGAUGGGAAACAGGUUAAUAUUCCUGUACUUGGUGUUACUGCGAAGGGGGGACGGAGAAGGCUAUGUUGGCCGGGCGACGGUUGUCCCGGUUUAAGCGUGUAGGCUGGUUUUCCAGGCAAAUCCGGAAAAUCAAGGCUGAGGCGUGAUGACGAGGCACUACGGUGCUGAAGCAACAAAUGCCCUGCUUCCAGGAAAAGCCUCUAAGCAUCAGGUAACAUCAAAUCGUACCCCAAACCGACACAGGUGGUCAGGUAGAGAAUACCAAGGCGCUUGAGAGAACUCGGGUGAAGGAACUAGGCAAAAUGGUGCCGUAACUUCGGGAGAAGGCACGCUGAUAUGUAGGUGAAGUCCCUCGCGGAUGGAGCUGAAAUCAGUCGAAGAUACCAGCUGGCUGCAACUGUUUAUUAAAAACACAGCACUGUGCAAACACGAAAGUGGACGUAUACGGUGUGACGCCUGCCCGGUGCCGGAAGGUUAAUUGAUGGGGUCAGCGCAAGCGAAGCUCUUGAUCGAAGCCCCGGUAAACGGCGGCCGUAACUAUAACGGUCCUAAGGUAGCGAAAUUCCUUGUCGGGUAAGUUCCGACCUGCACGAAUGGCGUAAUGAUGGCCAGGCUGUCUCCACCCGAGACUCAGUGAAAUUGAACUCGCUGUGAAGAUGCAGUGUACCCGCGGCAAGACGGAAAGACCCCGUGAACCUUUACUAUAGCUUGACACUGAACAUUGAGCCUUGAUGUGUAGGAUAGGUGGGAGGCUUAGAAGUGUGGACGCCAGUCUGCAUGGAGCCGACCUUGAAAUACCACCCUUUAAUGUUUGAUGUUCUAACGUUGACCCGUAAUCCGGGUUGCGGACAGUGUCUGGUGGGUAGUUUGACUGGGGCGGUCUCCUCCUAAAGAGUAACGGAGGAGCACGAAGGUUGGCUAAUCCUGGUCGGACAUCAGGAGGUUAGUGCAAUGGCAUAAGCCAGCUUGACUGCGAGCGUGACGGCGCGAGCAGGUGCGAAAGCAGGUCAUAGUGAUCCGGUGGUUCUGAAUGGAAGGGCCAUCGCUCAACGGAUAAAAGGUACUCCGGGGAUAACAGGCUGAUACCGCCCAAGAGUUCAUAUCGACGGCGGUGUUUGGCACCUCGAUGUCGGCUCAUCACAUCCUGGGGCUGAAGUAGGUCCCAAGGGUAUGGCUGUUCGCCAUUUAAAGUGGUACGCGAGCUGGGUUUAGAACGUCGUGAGACAGUUCGGUCCCUAUCUGCCGUGGGCGCUGGAGAACUGAGGGGGGCUGCUCCUAGUACGAGAGGACCGGAGUGGACGCAUCACUGGUGUUCGGGUUGUCAUGCCAAUGGCACUGCCCGGUAGCUAAAUGCGGAAGAGAUAAGUGCUGAAAGCAUCUAAGCACGAAACUUGCCCCGAGAUGAGUUCUCCCUGACUCCUUGA
rnacentral:rRNA from 1 species